rnacentral:ncRNA from 2 species
GAAGCCUUCAAGGGGAGCCUCUGGCUGAGAGUGAACAAUCUGUUCAGACCCUUAGAACCUGUCAGUUAAUACUGGCGUAGGGAUGGCGGCUUUUUUUGAU